GCCGGACGAGUCAAAAUCAUUUCUGCUUGAAGAACCUUCCAUAUUGCUCGCAUUAUACUCUGAAAAUAAAAGAGGAUGAUUGAAUGCCAAUAAAUACUAUCCGGUAUACCCCGGCCUUGCCCGUGCCAAAGGGCCAAACUUCGGAUAUGAUUUGACCGAGUCCCCGAAAGGUGAAAAAAAAGUUAUACAAAGCUUCUCUCGUAAGUGAUCUCUUUUGAGCAAAGGCUAAGGAUUCCGUGGCUCUUAGUGGGCAAACAGAUACUUUGAUCGGGCAUAAUAUCGCCAAUAUCAAAGGCAAGACGACUGAGGAUCAAUCCUGGCAAUGGAAAUUGGCCUGGCCUCCUUAAUAUAGACGGUGCCUUUAUUUUCAUAGGAUAUGGUAUAUGCCUCAGAGCGUUGGGGCUUGCCAACAUGAGAGAGUCGUGCGGUCCCUUGUAAAAGUUGAUGCAGAGAGAUCUUGGCGAGGUCCUCAAAUGAUCACUGAUGCCUUCUAAAAAUGGUACAAAGUCUAUACAAGUAAACUCUUUACUUAUCCAUAGAGGUUAAAUAGCCAGAUAUUGUCUUAAAUAAACAACUAACCUGCAACUCUCUAAUUCCGUAGAUAUGCGCUAGCAGCGAUUUUAGUUAUGCCGAUUAAAGACAUUUCUGACAAGGAAAUCCGCGAUAGAACUGAUUUUAUAACCACAAUGAAUUGCUUAACGGCAAUCCAUGCGAGGAUCCAUUAAAGCUGAAGUGAAGGGGUUAACUGAUUGAUCAAUACUCGUAUCCGAAAAUAGAGUUGGUCACUGAAUGUCUUUAAAUCUGAGAUUUAUGCCCAAUAAUAUCUUAUCGAAAGGGGAUUUUUAGGAGCGCCCCUUAUUAUAUUUUCCGCACAAUAAGCUUCAAGGUGAAGAGAGCUGCGCACAUUUAUUGUGGAAGGUGCUUUAGGAGCUAUUAACCUUUAGAUUGAUGAUAAUAAUAAUAAUAAUGAAAACUUGUCUGUUUUGCAAGGUAUCUUGACCAAAGCUACCUUCUUUAGGAAAUCUGCGCCAAGUAGUAUGUAAUAUUCGUCGUGCCGAAGAUAAUCAUACGUACGUUCAACAGCUGCCGGAAUGAAAU